UCUGGUUGAUCCUGCAAGUCGUUGAUACGCUACUUCAAAGAUUAAGCCAUGCCAUGUCUCAGUACAGCCUCGACAAAGUGAAACCGCAAACAGCUCAUUAAAUCAGUUAUAACUUCCUUGCUCUCGAGUUCUAAAUGGAUAACUGUGGUAAAUCUAGAGCUAAUACAUGCAUCCAGGCUUAUAGUUUACUAUAAGUCGCAUUUUAUUAGACCCAGACUGUAGGGCAUCUUCGGAGUGUCUUCAUUUCAGAGGUGAAUCUAGAUAACAAUCAGCUAUCAUUUAAGUCCUCUUUGAGUGACGAUGAAGUGUAAUUCAGAUUCUGCAUUAUUCUUUCCACUAUUGUUGGUAGUCGACGGGACUACCAAGGUGAUCACGAGUAACGGGAAUAUGGGUUCUAUUCCGGAGAAGGAGCCUGGAGAAACGGCUACUACAUCUAAGGGUGGCAGCAGGCGCGCAAUUUGCCCAAUUUAGAUGUAGGAGGCAGUGACGAGACAUAAACAUUGAAGAGCGUAGCUUCUGUUGGUUUCUUCAUCUAAUUGUGAUUGAGCAACAAUGUAAAUGCUUUGGCGAUUAUCUAUUGGAGGGCAAGUCUGGGUUUGCCAGCAGCCAGCCGCGGAAUUCCAGCUCCAUAGGUAUAUUAAUAUUGUUGCGGUUAAAAAGCUCAUAGUCUAAAUUCGGGCUACAUUAGAUUACUCUCCAUUCCAUUUUAGGUUUGGUUUAUAUGGGUAAUCUAGUAAUGUAGUUCAUUAUCUGGCGUUUAGUUGAGUGCAAUGUGUUGUGCUUAAACUGCGUCAAACGAUUACUUGACUAAAUCAGAGUGAUCAAGACAGGCUCGUUUAGCACGGCCUUGAAUGCUCUAGCAUGGAAUAAUAGAAAAGACUCGUUUGGUCUGGUGAAAUGAAUAUGUUCACGCAUAACUAUGGUCUCCAGUUACCUCGGUAAGAUUAAAAGGGAUUGACGGGGGGGCAGUCGUAUUGCUGGGCUAAGCGGUGGAAAAAUGCAAUGACCCUGGUAAGACGUCCUAAAGCGAAAGCAUCUGCCUAGGAUGUUUAUUGAUCAAGAGCGAAAGUUAGAGGUGCGAAGGCGAUUAGAUACCGCCCUAGUUCUAACCAUAAACGAUGCCAACCAGCAACAGUCUGAGAAUUCAAGCCUUAUUUAAAUCUUAAACGAUCUUGAAUUAGACUGGUUCUCCCGGAGAAAUCAGAGUGAUUAGGCUCCGGGGGAAAAGUAUGGUUGCAAAGCUGAAACUUAAAGGAAUGACGGAGGGGCACCACAAGGAGUGGAGCUGCGGCUUAAUUUGACUCAACACGGGAAAAACUUACCAGGAUAAUACACUAUGACGGUGUCAGGCUAGAGACCUUCUGGUUAGUGAAUAGUGGUGCAUGGCCGUUAUUAGUUCGUGGGGUGAUUUGUCAGGUUGAUUCCGACAAACGAACAAGACUCUAGCCUGCUAAUUAAAGGUAAUUACUCUUAUGCUCCGGUGUAACGAGUGAUUGCAAACCUCCUAGAGGAUUAAUGACGUUUUUUUAUUUAUAUGUAGUCAUAGAGAGAUGGAGGACAAUAACAGGUCUGUAUGCCCUUUGAUAUCUUGGGCCGCACGCGAGCUACAUUGAAAGAGACAAUGAGUUUAUUCAAUUUCCUGUGCCGAAAGGUUACGGGUAAUCUUUGAAUUUCUUUUCACUCUGGAUUGAGCUUUGUAAUCUAGUUCAUGAACGAGGAAUUCCUUGUAAAUGUGAGUCAUUAGCUUGCGUUGAAUACGUCCCUGCCCCUUGUACACACCGCCCGUCGCUACUACCGAUGAAGUGCUUAGCAAGAACGAUGGACGGCUAGUGAUAUGCCUGCAUUUCGGUGUAGUGGUGUAGGAAAGCAUUGGCUGAAAGUCGUUCAAGCUUGUCACUUUAGAGGAAGUAAAAGUCGUAACAAGGUUUCCGUAGGUGAACAUGCGAAGG
rnacentral:rRNA from 1 species